AGAGUUUGAUCCUGGCUCAGAAUGAACGCUGGCGGCAUGGAUUAGGCAUGCAAGUCGAACGAUGAAGCAGUGCUUGCACUGCGAAUUAGUGGCGAAAGGGUGAGUAACACGUGAGUCAUCUGCCUGUAGGUAGCGGAUAGCCCAGCGAAAGCUGGAUUAAUACGUUAUGUGGAUCUUCGGAUCUAAAGAUUUAUCGCCUACAGAUGAGCUCGCGGACCAUUAGUUAGUUGGUAGGGUAACGGCCUACCAAGACGAUGACGGUUAGGUGGUCUGAGAGGAUGGUCACCCACACUGGGACUGAGACACUGCCCAGACUCCUACGGGAGGCUGCAGUCGAGAAUCUUCCGCAAUGGGCGAAAGCCUGACGGAGCGAUGCCGCAUGGAUGAUGAAGGCCUUCGGGUUGUAAAGUCCUGUCACCCGGGAAUAUAAUGAAGGUACCGGGAGAGGAAGUCACGGCUAACUACGUGCCAGCAGCCGCGGUAAUACGUAGGUGGCGAGCGUUAUUCGGAUUUAUUGGGCGUAAAGGGUUCGUAGGGGGCUUAUUAAGUCAGAUGUGAAAUUUCGGGGCUCAACCCCGAACCUGCAUUUGAAACUGACAAGCUAGAGUAUAGGAGGGGGAAGUGGAAUUCCUGGUGUAGCGGUGGAAUGCGUAGAUAUCAGGAGGAACAUCACAAGCGAAGGCAGCUUCCUGGACUAUAACUGACCCUGAGGGACGAAAGCGUGGGUAGCAAACAGGAUUAGAUACCCUGGUAGUCCACGCCGUAAACGUUGUAUACUUGGUGUUGGAGGAUUUGACCCCUUCGGUGCCGUAGCUAACGCGUUAAGUAUACCGCCUGGGGAGUACGGUCGCAAGAUUAAAACUCAAAGGAAUUGACGGGGACCCGCACAAGCGGUGGAGCAUGUGGCUUAAUUCGAGGCAACGCGAAGAACCUUACCUAGGUUUGACAUUGCGUGACCGCUGUAGAAAUACAGUUUUCCUUCGGGACACAAAAACAGGUGCUGCAUGGCUGUCGUCAGCUCGUGUCGUGAGAUGUUCGGUUAAGUCCGGCAACGAGCGCAACCCGUGUUGUCAGUUGCUACCAGGUAAUGCUGGGCACUCUGGCGAGACUGCCCGUGUUAAGCGGGAGGAAGGCGCGGACGACGUCAAGUCCGUAUGGCCCUUACACCUAGGGCUGCACACGUGCUACAAUGGGCGUUACAGAGGGCAGCGAAGUCGCGAGGCUAAGCGAAUCCCGAAAAGCGUCCCCAGUUCGGAUAGGAGUCUGCAACUCGACUCCUUGAAGCCGGAAUCGCCAGUAAAGGCGUAUCAGCAACGACGCCUUGAAUACGUUCCCGGGUCUUGUACACACCGCCCGUCACAUCAUGGAAGCUUAUUGCACCCGAAGUCACUGACUCAACCCGUCUAGGGAGAGAGGUGCCGAAGGUGUGGUCAGUAACUGGGAUGAAGUCGUAACAAGGUA
rnacentral:rRNA from 1 species